rnacentral:rRNA from 1 species
AUGUCGAGCUCCAGCAGCCACUCCAGCUCCGACCUCGAUGUCGAGGAGGAGCUAGCCCUCUGCAUUGCGUUGGAGCAGUCGAAGGUGGACACCAGGGCAGCUUCGAAUAUGCACCGUCGCCGCACCCGUGCCGGCGCAACGCGGAGUCCGGAGCUGGCCCCUCCAGGCCCCCGCGUAACUCCGUCAGGUGCCCGCUCCUCCGGCCUGCACGAGCACUUCGGAAUUGGAGGCUCGUGCCGCCCGCCGCGAGAGGCAAUGGGAAAGGGACAGAGCAGAGCAGUCCGUGUGCCGCCGUCGUGCGUUGUCGGCAGAGCUCGACAAGGACGAGCGGCUGUCCACUUGGGUCUACCGCCGGUUGCUGAGGGCGGCGAAGACGGACGCUCGCCGCCUAUGGGGUUGAUUGUCCUCUCUGACUCCUCGGGCGACGGCGGCGACAACCACAGCUCCACCUUCUACAACGACGACCAAGAUCCUACGCAAGCGGCGGACGCCUACAACUGUGCCGGCGACUUGAAGGGCGAAGGCCCAGCAGCAGCCAAACGGACGGACGCUACGGUGGCGACGGGAGCGGUCUGUAGCAGUGCAGCACUGGUUCAAAACGAGUCUAUUCCACCUUUUCUUUUCGACCGUGCGCCGUCGUUGGCCCCACCCCACUGCCCAAGAAAGGAUGGUGCGGCGAGCUCGGCCGGUACACCACAGGCGUUGCUACUCCUCCACCUCCUCCCCCUCCUGGUGUCGUCUCUUGUUUCAGGGACUAGUACUAGUAUACUAUGGUAUGCCAUGACGAGGAGAUACAUAACAAUACGAAGAAGAUUCCCUGGCUGGCCGCGAGGCCGCGACGCCGCUCUGCCCGCCCCAAAAGGCAGGCAAGCUGACGACGACGAAGCCGGACGCGCGCGCGGGCCCGUCGUCGUCGGAGGGCAAGGGGAGCCAUCCGUCGCGCCGUCGCCGUCCCGGACAGGACAAUGGUGCGGCUGUAUUCUAUGUACAGCUGCGCAGCUGUUCGCCUGCUCGCGGCCGCACCCGGCAACCGAGCGGCCAAUAAUACUACACGUACAGGAUGAUCGUACAAAGUUUUACAGGAUGACAACGUGGCCUAAUCUAAUUGCUCCCCCUCUAAUUUUCAGGGUGGGGCCGUCCCCCUUAAUCAUAUUCCAACCAAUCACAGUCAACGAGCCUGUAAAUCCCCCGUACAACGCCCGUACUUCUAGCAUUGCUCCCGAGCGGACGGACGCGUGGUGGACAGCGUGCCGGGCCACCAGUACUACUGCUGAGAUCCACAGUCCUUUCCUUCCUCUUAUCCACUAUGCGCCGGCGACUACGCCCAUUCGGUCGUGCGCUGGCGCCCAAUCCCCGUCGCCGGCGACCACAAGCAACGACCGUUGCACCUCUCCGCGCGCCACCCCGAGGCGCCGCGCCGCCAUCCUCCGCAACCCCGACCUUCUCCUCGACCUCGCCUCUCCGUGCGAACAAACGGCGUCGCCGCCGGCGGCCACGACCACCGUGCUUGAACUGACGGGCGCCGACGGCACGGGGCUCAUCUUCGAGGUGUUCGCCAUGCUGGCCGACAUAUUCUCCGGCGGGGUCUCUCCAUGGCAACGGCGGCGCUGCACCUGUGAGAAAGACAGAGGUAAGGGAAGAUAUAAAGGAGGAGAGGCAGGGAGAAGGAGAGGGCGCGAGGAGGUCCCGUCUCCCGCGUGGGGUGGGGGGGCGAGGUGCACGGCGGCUGCACUGCGUGCGGCCAGAGAGAGAGCCGGGAGGAAUAAGCGAAGGAAGAGGUGGCGGGAUCCUGCGGGGCUGGAUUGGAGCCCCGGUGGUGCUACUGCUGCCGUUGGACGCCGGCCGAAGGGACAAGUCCCUAGAGAAGGACGGGGUUCAAGUUGUUGGGCCGGUGGCAGGGGCAGCAUGAUGUUUUCGUCAGGUGUGGAUUGGAAUCAGUUUUUUUUGCUGCACCCCCAUUCCGACGAGGUCACGCACACAUACCACCGGGAAUCCCACGAACCCUAUGUUCGAGCGCGAGCGACGGCAAUAGCAUCUGCAAAACGGGAGAAGAUUGCUGACUUUGUGCCUAAUGAUGGUUGCCUGAACUUCGUAGAGCAAAUUGACGAGGUGUUGAUUGCUGAGUUUGGUCUUAAGAGGCACGUCGUGGGAGAUAUCCCUUAUGGCAGGUUCAAAGUUGUGAUGGUAUCUGGUGUCUCCCAGCGAGAUUUGUUCCUUCUCUUAACAGUUACUAUUAAGGGAAAUAAGGAAGGGAAGAAACAAAUAGGGAACAAUCAGAUGAAGCAUCAAGAAAAAUGGAUUGAACAAUCAGAUGAAGCAUCCAGCUCGAGGAGAAGCAUGGUCUGCAAGGAGACCAAUCAUCUUGAGGUGGUUCUUUCAGCUACUGCAUGUUCCAUUACGGAGAAGGCUGGCUUGAGGACAAAUAUGUCAGCUCCAUUUUCGCUCGUAUGUGUUGUGGUCGGAUACAUGAUUGCAACAAGAUUCCCAACUAGAAGAGGAGUCACCCAGAAGAGUUUUGCAAGUUAUCAUCACUUGCAAGCCUCCAACUUGAUCCAUGAUUUAUAUGAUCAGCAGAAAACAUUGUACAAUUUAAAAUUGUCAAAGCCCAUGUAUUCUGUGAUGCCCAAUAGAAAUAGCAUUGAUUAUUUGGCCGCCGGCUACAGAGUUCAGUGCAAAUUCUUCUGGGAAUUGCCCCAGCCAAGUUUUUUUGUUUUGUUUUCAGGAACAGACCCAGCCAACCAAGUAGCCAGGAUUCGAACUGGGGACCUCCUGGUUGAUCCUCGAUGCGCUAACCACCCUAGUGACUACAACUUAUGUGCUCAAUAG